UACGAAGGGGGCUAGCGUUGUUCGGAAUUACUGGGCGUAAAGCGCACGUAGGCGGAUACUUAAGUCAGGGGUGAAAUCCCGGGGCUCAACCCCGGAACUGCCUUUGAUACUGGGUAUCUCGAGUCCGGAAGAGGUGAGUGGAAUUCCGAGUGUAGAGGUGAAAUUCGUAGAUAUUCGGAGGAACACCAGUGGCGAAGGCGGCUCACUGGUCCGGUACUGACGCUGAGGUGCGAAAGCGUGGGGGGCAAACAGG
rnacentral:rRNA from 1 species